rnacentral:ncRNA from 1 species
CGUUCGAGCAGCGUCGUGUCGCGGUCCGGGACUGUCCCUCCCCACCCCGGGUCGUCUCGGCGCGGUUCCGAGCGGUCGCUCCCUCGCGAGGUGCCGCGGGUCAGCGGCUGACGCCAGCCACCUUCCCGACCCGUCUUGAAACACGGACCAAGGAGUCUAACAUGUGCGCGAGCCGCGGGGCAGUACGAAACCCGUAAGGCGAAAUGAAGGUGAACGCCGGCGCGGUCCGGCGGAGGUUGGAUCCCGUCCCGUCGGGGCGGGCGCACUACCGGCCGAUCUUCUCCGCCCUGUCGGCGAGGUCGAGCGAGAGCGUGCAAGUCGGGACCCGAAAGAUGGUGAACUAUGCCUGAGGAGGUUGAAGCCAGAGGAAACUCUGGUGGAGGACCGUAGCGAUUCUGACGUGCAAAUCGAUCGUCAAAUUUGGGUAUAGGGGCGAAAGACUAAUCGAACCGUCUAGUAGCUGGUUCCCUUCGAAGUUUCCCUCAGGAUAGCUGGCGCUCUGUCGCAGUUUUAUCUGGUAAAGCGAAUGAUUAGAGGUCUUGGGGGCGAAACGCCCUCAACCUAUUCUCAAACUUUAAAUUGGUAAGAAGCCCGACUCGCUCGUUUGGAGCCGGGCAUGGAAUGCGAGUGCCAAGUGGGCCACUUUUGGUAAGCAGGACUGGCGAUGCGGGAUGAACGA